rnacentral:rRNA from 1 species
UACAGAGGUCCCGAGCGUUGUUCGGAUUCACUGGGCGUAAAGGGUGCGUAGGUGGUGAGGUAAGUCGGAUGUGAAAUCUCCGGGCUCAACCCGGAAAUGGCAUUGGAAACUACCUUGCUAGAGGAUUUGAGGGGGGGAUUGGAAUACUUGGUGUAGCAGUGAAAUGCGUAGAUAUCAAGUGGAACACCAGUGGCGAAGGCGAAUCCCUGGAAAAUACCUGACACUGAGGCACGAAAGCUAGGGGAGCAAACGGG